rnacentral:rRNA from 1 species
UAGUCCACACCGUAAACGCUGCCUACUAGCUGUUUGUGAGUUUAACUCGUGAGUAGCGAAGCUAACGCGCUAAGUAGACCGCCUGGGGAGUACGGUCGCAAGAUUAAAACUCAAAUGAAUUGACGGGGGCCCGCACAAGCGGUGGAGCAUGUGGUUUAAUUCGAAGCAACGCGAAGAACCUUACCUACUCUUGAAAUCCAGUGAAUUUAGCAGAGAUGCUUUAGUGCCUUCGGGAACACUGAGACAGGUGCUGCAUGGCUGUCGUCAGCUCGUGUUGUGAAAUGUUGGGUUAAGUCCCGUAACGAGCGCAACCCCUAUCCUUAGUUGCCAGCGAGUAAUGUCGGGGACUCUAAGGAGACUGCCGGUGACAAACCGGAGGAAGGCGGGGACGACGUCAAGUCAUCAUGGCCUUACGAGUAGGGGCUACACACGUGCUACAAUGGGCGCAUACAGACGGUUGCGAAGUCGCAAGAUGGGA